UACAGAGGUCUCAAGCGUUGUUCGGAUUCAUUGGGCGUAAAGGGUGCGUAGGUGGCGAGGCAAGUCAGGUGUGAAAUCUCGGGGCUCAACCCCGAAACUGCACUUGAUACUGCCUUGCUCGAGUACUGGAGAGGAGAUUGGAAUUUACGGUGUAGCAGUGAAAUGCGUAGAUAUCGUAAGGAAGACCAGUGGCGAAGGCGAAUCUCUGGACAGUUACUGACACUGAGGCACGAAGGCCAGGGGAGCAAACGGG
rnacentral:rRNA from 1 species